rnacentral:lncRNA from 1 species
GCGCCUCAACUUAAGUUCUGAUCAGCUCGCUAAUUGAUGUUCUCACGUCCUACACCGCCCAGAAGAUGGGGGGCUACCGCCCAAUUCAUCACCGCUCACACGCUCGAGAGGUCGGCAGGCAGAUUUGAACCCGGACACUCCGGGAACAGAAGUCAGGCCUUAAUCUCUGUACAUCACAAGCAAACAACAACUGUCGGUCUGUCACUCAUAACCGAAACCAUUCAUCCCCCAAAUGGGCCUCCUCUGCUAUCUCACACUUCAUUGGUCGCAUAGGGAAGUGAGCGUUUUGCGUGCGUUCGGUGCUUGUGGUCCUUGCUCCCUGUCCCGGCCUGUCUUCCUCACCGUAUCUGGCCAACUGUGGUCCUAGCUUCCUUUCCCCCUCGCCGUGUUUUUUCCUUGUCUCCGCCUUCUGUCUUUUUCCAGUCCUGAUGAGGUUGCAGUUUGCAACUUGUCGCUGCUUUUUUCCUUCUUUUGGAUAGAGUCCCUGUUCAUGUUUGGGUUCUACGUUUUGUCCAUCAUCUUUGAUUGGUUACAGUAGCUUUUUGCGGCGUUCCUCGAUUAGAGCUUGUUUGCCGUUUCCUUGGUUACGCUCGGUCCUUUUGCUACAGAACUACAGGUACGGCAUCUGUAUUCAAGCGAGACGGCCUUUCUGUGGCGGACUCUAUGAACAGCACAUGGCACACUAUCAUACAGAUACAAAAUUCUUGAAUAAAGCAGAUAUCCCUG